ensembl:lncRNA
CCCAGCUCCAUUUUAGAAGCCUUGACAUACGUUACUCCAUUUUGUUAUCACUGUCCAUGUGCCCAAACAGAAAUUUAUACUUUGUUUCUCUUUGCUGGCAUUGUUUUAUCUAGUCUAAUCUCUCACAGAAGCUAUUGUCAUUCAAGGGUUAUUUCUUCUUGUGGGAAUCUUCCCACUUUGCACUGCCCAAAGCUUUGUCUCUUGAAUUUGAAGCAACUGCCACCAUCAAGAUUCUAAGUCUCUUAAGUGGUACAUGGCCUCAGAGCAGCUGAGGUUUCAAUGCUCACAUAAAUCCAAUAGGGAGACAGACAUGACUACUUUGAAAGGAGGAGCAGAUCUGCACCAUAUCCAAAGCCUGUGAGUUUUUUGAAAUCCGCUAGUCGACUUUCCAUCUUAAACACUGUAUGCAAAUAAGGAUAAAGACAGCGACACUUCCCAAGAGAGGUCAGAAGUCAAGAGGAGAGAGAGAAAAAGGUAUCUAAAGAUAGAGAUCUAGGAGCUAGCAAGUCGGAAUUUGGUUGCGUUCUGAAUCUACUCCUAACUUGCUCUGUGAUCCAAGCUACUGGAAAUGUAAAACGACAUACGUUGCUCACGUUUGUGGCUGGCAUUAUAUUUCUGUAGGAUGGCACUGGUCUAGAGAAUUUCCUCUGUUCCAUCUAGACCCUGAGAAGCUGGAACUGCACAUACCAAGAGAGAAAGAAAAAAAAGUAAACAUGGUCCCUACCUUUUUGAGACAUAAGAUUGAAAAAAGAAGAAAAAGAAAUAAUAAACAAAUCGUGAUACACGCCAUAAAGUAAAUACAAGUUGUUGAAAUAGAAAAUAAACAUGGAGGGGGCCUUAGGUGAGCCAGAGAGUCAUCAAGAAUUGUCUCUUAGGGCAAGUUAUUUUUGCUAUGAGCUCAAGAUAACAGCUUAAGUACAGCGUGCUAAGAUGGAAAACAAAGCUUUAGACUCAGAUUAUUUUUUAAGUUGAAACCUAGAAGAUGAGAAGAACUCAAAUGAUGGACAGAUUGAAAUUUUUGGUCUUUUGUUAACCCUGAUGCAAUCAGGUGAUAGCCUCAGCCAAGUUUGAGAAAAGGAGCAGAUUUUGCCCUUUCAAGCAGGAAGAUAUGCCAAUACCACCGACUGGCAUUUGAUUUUCACCUUUUAACAAGCAUGUCUCAGUCUCUUUUAUCAUCAGUGGUAUCCAGAGACCUCUCACACUGUGUUCAUUUUAUUCACCAAAUGGAAAUCAGCAAUGUGUAGUGACAUCCAACUAAUUUCUGGGAAGAAUAAUAUUGAGGAUUCUGUCACAAAAGUUACAGAAGCCAAGAUUUACUAGAAAAUUAGGUUAGUUGUGUCCGGGCAACGUUAACAAGUCACAGUCCUGUCCAUGUUCUCUAAUUUUUUUCAUUUCUAACAACAAGGAUCAUAUAUGUACACAUUUAUGCAAGUAAAUAUUGUCAUUUUGUCGUUGACCCUUGUCUCUAUCUGUUGGUUCACAAAAAGAGAUAAGGGAGGUCCUUAGAAGAAGGGACUGUUGAACAAUCUCCCCAGUUCUGCUGCAUGCUAACAGACAAAGCAGGAAUUGGAAUUCAUCUUGCAAGCUUUCGGGUCCCUAACUGUUCUGAAUCAUCUUUUUCUGAUUAGUGGAGAGACAGCAUUUUAAUAAGGGAGUCUCUGUAGAUGCAGCGUUCUUGUCACAGCCAGAGAGCGUGACUUUGUUAUGUCACCCUGCCCUGGGGAGAAGACUGAAGAACCAUUUCAUUUGUAGGACAAGUGUGUGUAGACACAGUGCUUAUCUCAAGAGUUUCAAAAGCUCCAGAUGUUACUUCAAAAUUCAAUCAAACUUAAGGCAUUAAAAUAGAAAUCCACAUUCACAUUAUCAUAACAAAAUUAUUUACAAUCUUAGGUCUGUAGCUUCUAGUAUACCCAAAAGGAAUGUUCCGAGGAUUUUCAUCUGCUUAUGAGGGGUGGUUUAUUCCUUGGUUCAUUCAUUCGUUCAUUUAGUCAUUAAACAAACAUGUAUUUUUG